rnacentral:rRNA from 1 species
UACGUAGGGUGCGAGCGUUGCCCGGAUUUAUUGGGCGUAAAGGGCGCGUAGGCGGCUCGGCACGUCCGUUGUGAAAUCGCCCGGCUCAACUGGGCGGGGUCAGCGGAUACGGUCGAGCUUGAGCAAGCUAGGGGGCAAUGGAAUUCCCGGUGUAGUGGUGGAAUGCGUAGAGAUCGGGCGGAACACCAGCGGCGAAGGCGGCAUCCUGGCCCUAUCCUGACGCUGAGGCGCGAGAGCGUGGGGAGCAAACAGG